rnacentral:rRNA from 1 species
UCUUCCCUCUGGCGGCGUGCUUAACACAUGCAAGUCGAACGAGAAGUGAAGACGGAAACCUUCGGGCGGAAGGCUUUAUUUCGAGUGGCGGACGGGUGAGUAACGCGUGGGUAACCUGCCUCAUACAGGGGGAUAACAGUUGGAAACGACUGUUAAUACCGCAUAAGACCACAGCACCGCAUGGUGCGGGGGUAAAAACUCCGGUGGUAUGAGAUGGACCCGCGUUCGAUUAGCCAGUUGGCGGGGUAACGGCCCACCAAAGCGACGAUCGAUAGCCGAUCUGAGAGGAUGACCGGCCACAUUGGGACUGAGACACGGCCCAAACUCCUACGGGAGGCAGCAGUGGGGAAUAUUGCACAAUGGGGGAAACCCUGAUGCAGCGACGCCGCGUGAGUGAAGAAGUAUUUCGGUAUGUAAAGCUCUAUCAGCAGGGAAGAAAAUGACGGUACCUGAGUAAGAAGCCCCGGCUAACUACGUG